rnacentral:rRNA from 1 species
AAAUUGAAGAGUUUGAUCAUGGCUCAGAUUGAACGCUGGCGGCAGGCCUAACACAUGCAAGUCGAACGGUAACAGGAAGCAGCUUGCUGCUUUGCUGACGAGUGGCGGACGGGUGAGUAAUGUCUGGGAAACUGCCUGAUGGAGGGGGAUAACUACUGGAAACGGUGGCUAAUACCGCAUAACGUCGCAAGACCAAAGAGGGGGACCUUCGGGCCUCUUGCCAUCAGAUGUGCCCAGAUGGGAUUAGCUUGUUGGUGAGGUAACGGCUCACCAAGGCGACGAUCCCUAGCUGGUCUGAGAGGAUGACCAGCCACACUGGAACUGAGACACGGUCCAGACUCCUACGGGAGGCAGCAGUGGGGAAUAUUGCACAAUGGGCGCAAGCCUGAUGCAGCCAUGCCGCGUGUAUGAAGAAGGCCUUCGGGUUGUAAAGUACUUUCAGCGGGGAGGAAGGUGUUGUGGUUAAUAACCGCAGCAAUUGACGUUACCCGCAGAAGAAGCACCGGCUAACUCCGUGCCAGCAGCCGCGGUAAUACGGAGGGUGCAAGCGUUAAUCGGAAUUACUGGGCGUAAAGCGCACGCAGGCGGUCUGUCAAGUCGGAUGUGAAAUCCCCGGGCUCAACCUGGGAACUGCAUUCGAAACUGGCAGGCUUGAGUCUUGUAGAGGGGGGUAGAAUUCCAGGUGUAGCGGUGAAAUGCGUAGAGAUCUGGAGGAAUACCGGUGGCGAAGGCGGCCUCCUGGACAAAGACUGACGCUCAGGUGCGAAAGCGUGGGGAGCAAACAGGAUUAGAUACCCUGGUAGUCCACGCCGUAAACGAUGUCUACUUGGAGGUUGUGCCCUUGAGGCGUGGCUUCCGGAGCUAACGCGUUAAGUAGACCGCCUGGGGAGUACGGCCGCAAGGUUAAAACUCAAAUGAAUUGACGGGGGCCCGCACAAGCGGUGGAGCAUGUGGUUUAAUUCGAUGCAACGCGAAGAACCUUACCUGGUCUUGACAUCCACAGAACUUUCCAGAGAUGGAUUGGUGCCUUCGGGAACUGUGAGACAGGUGCUGCAUGGCUGUCGUCAGCUCGUGUUGUGAAAUGUUGGGUUAAGUCCCGCAACGAGCGCAACCCUUAUCCUUUGUUGCCAGCGGUUAGGCCGGGAACUCAAAGGAGACUGCCAGUGAUAAACUGGAGGAAGGUGGGGAUGACGUCAAGUCAUCAUGGCCCUUACGACCAGGGCUACACACGUGCUACAAUGGCGCAUACAAAGAGAAGCGACCUCGCGAGAGCAAGCGGACCUCAUAAAGUGCGUCGUAGUCCGGAUUGGAGUCUGCAACUCGACUCCAUGAAGUCGGAAUCGCUAGUAAUCGUGGAUCAGAAUGCCACGGUGAAUACGUUCCCGGGCCUUGUACACACCGCCCGUCACACCAUGGGAGUGGGUUGCAAAAGAAGUAGGUAGCUUAACCUUCGGGAGGGCGCUUACCACUUUGUGAUUCAUGACUGGGGUGAAGUCGUAACAAGGUAACCGUAGGGGAACCUGCGGUUGGAUCACCUCCUUA